AUGGGACUUGUGUUAAUCAUUGCAAGGAUGGAUUUGAAAGAGAUGCUCCUGACUUCAUUUGCAAACAGAAGAUAGACAAUUCAUCCACCUUAGUGCCAAGUAUUUCAUCAUCCACCUUAGUGCCAAGUAUUUCAUCAUCCACCUUAGUGCCAAGUAUUUCAGGAAUCUCACCGUCCAAACAUAUCACCACUGCCACACAACCAUCCACAACUGCUCAACAACAUGCUGCUGGAAUGAACAAUGACCUAGUUAUAAUUUUGAGUGUUGUGUCAUGUCUACUUUUUGUGCUUUUAUGUGGAUUUAUUGGAUGGAGGACAUAUGAUAGAAAAAGAUAUGAAAAAUGUGCUCAAUAUGAUUUCAAGGCAAAAAACAUAACUGUCCACAUUUCCGAUACAGAGACUGGAAAGAAAGUGGCAAGAGGACUUCCAACAGAUGUUUAGCAUGAAGACCCUGAUCAGACUGAAGUCCUGAGAGUGGCAGAAUGAAAGAGGAAGCUGAUGAGACAGUUGAAAAUCCAGAUAUCCUUUUAGCUCACCUGAGCCAAAGGCUCAUGGUGAGCUUUUGUGACCGCUCAAUGUCCAUCGUGCAUAGUGUGACGUGCGUCGUGUGUCUGUCAACAAUUCCUAAAAAAAUCUUCUUCUUGAAAACCACUGGGCAGAAUUACACUAAACUUCUCAGGAUUGAUCCUUGGAUGGUCCCCUUUCAAAAUUGUUUAAAGAAUUGAAUUCCAAGCAGAACUCUGGUUGCCAUGGCAACCAAACCAAAAGGAAAUACUGAAAAAAUCUUCUUGUCCAAAACCACAGGGCCUAGGGCUUUGAUAUUUGGUAUGCAGCAUCAUAUAGUAAUUCUCUACCAAGAUUAUUCAAAUUAUUCCCCUAGGGUCAAAUAUGGCCCUGGGAGUCACAUGGUUUAUGUAGACUUAAUAGGAAAAAACUUUAAAAAUCUUCUUGUCUGAAACCACAACACCUAGGCUUUUGAUAUUUGGUAUGCAGCAUUGCCUUAUGGUCCUCGACUAAGAGUGUUCAAAUUAUGCCCCUAGAGUGAAAAGAGGCCCUGCCCCGGGGGUACCAAGUUUUACAUAGACUUAUGUAGGAAAAACUUUUAAAAUCGUUCAGUCUGAAACUGCAAGGCCUAGACUUUUGAUAUUUGGUAUGUAGCAUUGCCAAGUGGUACUUUACCAAGAUUAUUUAAAAUUAUGCUCCUGAGGUGAAAAGAGGCCCAACCCAGGGGGUCCCAAGUUUUACAUAGACUUAUAUAGGAAAAAAACUUUAAAAAUCUUCUUGCCUGAAACUGCAAGGUCAAGGCUUUUGAUAUUUGGUAUGUAUGUUGCAUUGCCUAAUGGUCCUCUACCAUAAUUGUUCAAAUUAUGCCCCUUGGGUGAAAAGAGGCCCUGCCCCGGGGGUACCAAGUUUUACAUAGAUUUAUACAUUAUACAGGAAAUUUUUUUUUAAAUCUUGUCUUGAAGUUCAAGGCUUAAGCCUUUGAUAUUUGGUAUGUAGCAUUGCUUAGUGGUUCUCUAACAAGAUUAUUCAAAUUAUGCCCCUGGGGUGAAAAGAGGCCCCGCCCCGAGGGUCACUUGUAUAUGAGUUAUAUAGGAAAAUAUACUUCAAAAAUUAUCUGAUCAUAUUUCCUAGACUGUUUAAUUAUAAUUACCUGAUGACCCCAAGUUACUAAGGGUCACUUGACCAUGACCUUGACCUAAUGACCUACAGUUUUGUUUUUUUAAGAUACAUCCUUGAAAUUUGGAUGACAUCACAGUUUUGCACACCGAUCUUAACAGCAUAGAAAUUGGACCACAUCAGUAACUUUCGAUAAAGAUUUCAAUACUCCUCUUUAAUGUUCUUAUUGUGACUUACUGACCUACUUUCUUGUUUUUGAAGCUACAGCAAAAUGAUUUGGACCACAUGUAUAAUGUUUGAUAUGGAUUUCAAUACUCAUCUUGAAUAGUCUUUAUCAUGACCUACUGACCUACUUUCUUGUUUUUGAAGAUACAGCAUUUGGACCACAUGUCGAACUUUUGAUACAGAUUUCAAUACUCGUCUUAAAUAUUGUAACCCUGACCUACUGACCUACUUUCUUGUUUUUGAAGCUACUGCAAAGAGAUUUUGACCACCUGUAUAUUUUUUUUCCAACAGAUUUCAGUACUUACCUUGAAGAAUCUUCACCAUGACCUUCUCACCUAGUUUUUGUUUUUGAAGCUUUAGCAAAGUAAUUUGUUCAAUUAAACUCAGGUGAGCGAUAUAGGGCCAUCAUGGCCCUCUUGUUUUAUUUUGGAAGUGUGACAUUAUGUACUACUAUUCCUUAGUGUUUAGGAUGAUAUAGCUUUGAAUACUAUAUAGCAGUUGUGAUUUAUUACCUCGACUAAGAAAAAGUAGAGCUAUUGCACUCGCCCCAGCGUCGGUGUCGCCAUUGGUUGAAGUUUUUGAUAAAAUCAAAUAUCUCUGUUACUAUCAAAGCUUUGACUUGAAACUUGAAAUAGUUAUUUACUAUCAAAGUCUACACCAGGAGAAACAAUCCCCAUAACUCUGGUUGGAAUUUUGACAGAAUUAUGCCCCUUUUUAACUUAGAAUUGUUUGGUUAAGUUUUUUGAUAAAGUCAAAUAUCUCUGUUACUAUCAAAGCUUUUGACUUUAAACUUUAGUUAUUAACUUUCAAAGUCUACACCAGGAGAAACAAUCCCAAUAACUCUGUUUGAAUUUUGACAGAGUUAUGCCCCUUUUUAACUUGGAAUUUUUUAUGCCCCCACUUUGGGGGUGGGGGGGGGCAUAUAGAUUUGCUCUUGUCCGUCCGUCCGUCCUUCCGAAAAUGUUGUGUCGCGCGUAGCUCUGAAAGUAUUUGACGUAGAGUCACAAAACUUUACAGGAAUGUUGGUCAGCAUGUGUAGUUGUGCACCUGGGGUUUUGCGUCCGGAUUCAUUCAGUCAUGUAGAAGUUAUGUCCCCUGACUUUGUAAAAAUUGGUCAUUUUAAUGUUGUGUCGUGCCUAGCUCCAAAAGUAUAUGAGCUAGAGUCACAAAACUUUACAGGCAUGUUGGUCAGCAUGUGUAGUUGUGCACCUGGGGUUUUGCGUCCGGAUUCAUCCAGACAUGUAGGAGUUAUGGCCCUUGACUUAGUUAAAAAUUGGUUAUUUUAAUGUUGUGUCGCGCAUAGCUCCAAAAGUAUUUGACCUAGAAUCACCAAAGUUUACAGGAAUGUUGGUCAGCAUGUGUAGUUGUGCACCUGGGGUUCACAUCCGGAUUCAUGCAGUCGUGUAGAAGUUAUGGCCCCUGACUUUGUAAAAAUUGGUCAUUUUAAUGUUGUGUCGUGCCUAGCUCCAAAAGUAUAUGACCUAGAGUCACAAAACUUUACAGGCAUGUUGGUCAGCAUGUGUAGUUGUGCACCUGUGGUUUUGCGUCCGGAUUCAUCCAGUCAUGUAGGAGUUAUGGCCCCUGACUUAGUAAAAAAUUGGUCAUUUUAAUGUUGUGUCGCGCAUAGCCCCAAAAGUAUUUGACCUAGAAUCACCAAAGUUUACAGGAAUGUUGGUCAGCAUGUGUAGUUGUGCACCUGGGGUUUCGCAUCCGGAUUCAUUCAGUAUUGUAGGAGUUCUGGCCCCUGACUAAUGUCAUGUAGUGGGGGCAUCUGUGUCCCAUGGACACAUUUCUAGUUGGUUAAAGUUUUAUAAAGUUUUUACUGGCAAAGACCUAGAAUCACCAAAGUUUACAGGAAUGUUGGUCAGCAUGUGUAGUUGUGCACCUGGGGUUUCGCAUCCGGAUUCAUUCAGUAUUGUAGGAGUUCUGGCCCCUGACUAAUGUCAUGUAGUGGGGGCAUCUGUGUCCCAUGGACACAUUUCUAGUUGGUUAAAGUUUUUACUGGCAAAGCUCUAAUUCAGAGUCAAGCACUGAGAAAAGUCGAGAGCCCUGUCAUCAGACAGCUCUUGUUUUUAGCUCGACUAUUCGAAGAAUAAGUACAGCUAUCCUACUCACCACGGCGUUGGCGUCACACCUUGGUUAAGCUUUGUGUACUAGUCCACAUUUUGACAAAGUCUUUUGAGAUAAAGCUUUGAAACUUUCAACACUUGUUUACCAUCACCAUGACCAGUUAUAGGCAAGAGCACAUAACUCCAUCAAAGAUUUUGACUGAAUUAUGGCCCCUUUUGACUUAGAAAUCAUGGUUAAGUUUUUUGUACCAGUUUAUAUUUUGACAAGUCUUUUGAGAUAAAGCUUUGAAACUUUCAACACUUGUUUACCAUCACCAUGUCCAGUUAUAGGUGGGCCGGUGGUCUAGUGGUAACACGCUUGACUGUCAAUCCAGAGGUCCGGGGUUUGAAUCCCGGUCCAGGCACUGGAAAUUUCUGAGAUGCUCUUGAGUGUCUCCCACCUAACUAGAGGCCUGUACUGGUUCUUCCCAGGAAAGACGGCUUCGUGUGUAUCGGUGCUAUACACCGGGCACGUUAAAGAACCAGACUGUCUAUUCGCAAAGAGCUAGGCUAUGUUAGCCGGACACGUUUGUAUCUAAAACAUUCUCUCUGUCUGUUCUGGGGGCUUUAUCUCACUCUGUCCCUCUGGUCAGAUCGCUCUGUGUCUGUAGUAGUAGAGGAUGAAUUUCGCGCCCUGUGUGGCUGCGUUUGCUAUAUGUAAAGCGCCUUUGAACGUGUUUAUCAUGAAAAGGGCGCUAUAUAAAUCUGGUAUAAUUAAUUAAUUAUAGGCAAGAAUACAUAACUCCAUCAAGGAGUUUGGCUGAAUUAUGGCCCCUUUCGACUUAGAAAUCAUGGUUAAGUUUUUCGUACCAGUUCAUAUUUUGACAAAGUCUUUUGAGAUAAAGCUUUGAAACUUUCAACACUUGUUUACCAUCACCAUGUCCAGUUAUAGAUAAGAGAACAUAACUCCAUCAAGGAUUUUGGCUGAAUUAUGGCCCUUUUUGACUUAGAAAUCUUGGUUAAGUUUUUCAUACCAGUUCAUAUUUAGACAAAGUCUUUUGAGAUAAAGCUUUGAAACUUUCAACACCUGAUUACCAUCACCAUGUCCAGGUAUAGGCGAGAGUACAUAACUUCAUCAAGGAUUUUGGCUGAAUUAUGGCCCCUUUUGACUUAGAAAUCUUGGUUAAGUUUUUCGUACCAGUUAAUAUUUUGUGUAAAGUGUUUGACAUAUGGCUUUGAAACUUUUAUCACUUGUUCAGUAUAAUAGUCUCUAUCUGUAGGAAAGAGAACAUAACUCUGUCAUCUAUUUUGGCUGAAUUAUGGCUCUUUUUGGACUUGGAAAUUAGUUCUGUUUUCAUACAAGUCCACGUUUUGUCAAAACUAUUUGACAUAUUGCUUUUAAACUUUGAACACCAUAUCAUCAUGAUUUCAAUCUGUAGGCAAGAAUACGUAACUCUGACAACUAUUUUGGCUGAAUUAUGGCCCUUUUUGGACUUUGAAAUUGGUUCACACAUUGCCAUUUAGUGCAAGACUUAUCGAAAUCCACAAAUACAGGAACAUUGUUUGUCUAAUCUUCUUUUGUCUGAAUAUCUGUGGUAAUAUUUUGACCCCAUUCUUCAGUCAAUUCUUUGAAUAGUCGAGCGCGCUGUCAUCCGACAGCUCUUGUUGAUACAAGUCACAUUCCAUGCAAGACCAUCACUUCUGUUUAGAAAGAUGCGAUGGGAUACAGACAAAAUCCCCCCUGCUCAAUGUUAUCAAGGCAAAAAUAAUCCUCUCAUUUUUUUCCAGUUAAAUCCAAGUUUUCACGUUAUUCCAUUUAGAAUCAAUAAUAAUCAUCUUAAAAAUGAUUUUUUUUUUCAUUUCAGAAGAAUCUAUUCAUUUUGGUUUAUUUUUAAAGUUUUUUUUACACAAAACAAAAUUAAGCCCGCCUUGGUCAGAUUGAGGCUUGGGUAUUUUGUACUGGGGGAUUUUGUCCUACAUGAUAUAUUGCUUUAUAAUGUUUGUUUUACAACUUGUGUUUUGCUAAGAACAUGAUAUUUAUAUACAUACUGAUUUUUUACUGGUUGUUAGCCGUUUUAUAAAAUUAUCUUGGUAUGUUGUCAUAAUUGUGCUGCUUAUUUCUAGUUUUAAAAAUUCAGUGUUUAUGUCAAAGGUUUUAACUUUCCAUUUUAGAUGCAUUUGACACACUUCAGGAUGAGUUUUAUCUACUUAGCUUAUCAGUUAUUAGUCCUAUUGUCUGGCAAAUUCCAAGAACUGGUGGUUCAUUUUUUGGUUUGCACAUAAUAAUAAAAAAAUAUUAAUUAUUAUGUGUUUGUCUGUAUAUACUGUUAGGGAUAUUACGAUUAUGAAUCAUGAAUUAAUAGUUCUUGACAUGAUCAUCUAUGAAAAUUUUCAUCAUUGAAAAAUUCGGAUGUAAGAAUGCCUUUAAAUAAGCUAGAUGUAGAUUCAUAAAUCCAUUCUGUUUAUGUAAAUUGCCAUUCUUUCUUUUAUUGAUAUGCAUGGGUUUGUUGUGUUUUUUUUUCAAUUAUACAAAAAUAUAUAAACUUUACCAGUCUUUACAUGGUAUUGAGUCAAGUUCAGUAAAGAACUCAGAAAUCCAGACAGUUAGCUGCAUGAAUCAAUUUUGCCAAAAUUUUAUUACUUUUAAAGGCACAUAUCAGAUAGUUUCCAUUGCACACAGUUUCCAUUGCACAUCUUUCCAGUUUUGUACUUGGCUAGCAGCCACUCACAAAUUGGUUUAGAAGGGUAGAGCCGGCUGCUUAAAGAAAAACUGGCCAGUUCCCGUUGAUAACCAGAGAAACGAAGUUAAAAAGAAUAAUUUAUGUUUAAUUUUCUGUCCGUAUCUUAGAGCAUUAUUACAUGCAAGACAUAGUCUGUCUCACCCUCAGGUGCUAUUUGCUUCCUCUUUUUAAGAGUUGCUUGGUAAAUAAGUAUAACUACAAAGAUAUAUUUUUGAAAUUGAUUAUUUAUUGCAGUGAUUUGGCUAUCCUUCAGAUAUAGUCAUUUAAAUUCAUGAUUACUUCUUUCAAAAGGAGGUAAUAAGGUUUUGACAUAUUAUGCAAAGUGUUGUUGUUUGUGUCUCAUUCGAUAGAUUUUGUUUUUAACUAGUUACACACAAAAAGAGAAAAGUAUCUGUCUUUUAGAAUUUUCUUUAUUAAAAAUAUGUUUUUUGUCAAUUUUGUAUGUAAAACCGGAAUACUCAUCUGGCAUCAAAACACUAUUCCUUUAUAUUUUUGUGUUAAAAUUUGUUCAAAUAUUCUUUUCUGUACUAACUGUAAUUUUCAUGUUUUCAUGAAAAACUUUUUUUUGUAUUUUUCUAUUAGGUCGUCUCCCUUUAAUUGUGGUAUCUUCACAUUUUGAACCUCAGCCUAUCAUUUUAAUUGUUGAUAUUUGACACUUAUGUCAUUUUAUUAUUCAGGUAAAUUAUAAGAAAGUCUGUAAGUUAGUAAAAAAAAAACCAUAUAUUUUGUGUCAUUUUGUUGUUAAAUGUUCUCUUUCGUCUCUAAGAACAAAUCCAGUUUAAAGUGAACAAGUACUUUAUGUUGUUAACCAAGAUACAGCGCCAAAAUAUAUGCAGAGUAAACUUAAGAAAACGUACACACAAUUUAAAUCUGAGAUCUUCUGAAAACAGUGAAUUAUAUGUACCAAAACCAAAUUUGGAAUUCUUCUGCGAAUCACUGAAUUACUCAGGUCCAAAAAUAUUGAAUGCCAUACCACUCACAAUUAGAAAGUCUGACACUAAAACAAUUCAUAAAUCUGUAUCUGCAGUGGAAGUUCCCUGGUGGUCUGAACUCCUUGAACUAUAUGACUCAAAUGUAUAUUUCUUGUUUAUUAUGUUACUGUUUUACUGUAUUAUUGUUCUCUGCUUUCAUAUUUUGUCAACAUUAAUGUUUUGUUAGUUUGUUUUGUAAAUACUGUAUAAACAUGUAUAUAUCAAGAUUAUGUUACUCAAAUGUCCAGCCUCUAUGAAUAAAGACGUUAUUAUUAUUAGUGAUUGUUUUAGGUAUAUCCUCAGAUAUACCUAUUUCACCAUCAAGCAUAGAAAUAGUUAAAUGUGCUGUCCCAGCUGACAGUUCUUGUUUGUUUCUUGUCUUACUGAUUUUUGAAUACAUGUAUAUAGUGCGUAUUAUAUGAUUUUAGUUUAAAUGUGAUUAUUUUGUAGUCCAUAAUUUAUAAGGUUUUGAUGUUUUAUUUUGUUUUAAAAUAUACAAAGAGUCAGUAUUCAAAUCUUUCAAAAGAUUGUGAUUUUUUUUUUAUUUUCAUACUGUUGUUAGAGAUUACUAAAAAUAGUUAAUUAGCUGUGAUCUAUAAUUUUGUCGGUGUGACGUUAAACUCAACAAAAACAAAAUGCUAUAAAUAGUUACUGAUUUGUACAGGAUAUAAUCCUUUAACCCGAGGCAAUAACUAAAAGCAUGCACAAUAACCGUGAUAUGCACACCAUGGGUGUAUAAUGUCUUUUUUUAUGUCAUUUUACUCUUAAUCAUCACAAAAGUGCAUAUUUGACAUGACUUAAUUGUUUAAAUUAUAGUUAUUGCAUUUAGGUCUCAUUAAACUGCUACGUCCUCUUGCAAAUAUGUGUUUAGUCAUGCCAAUGUAGGGAUAAUGCAUGUUUUUUCCUGUUAUAAUGUCUGCAGAAUCCUGAGGGAUUGGUUGGUGCCCGAGCCCGUAGGGCGAGGGUACAAACGUAUCCCGAGGGAUUCUGAAGAUGUUAUAACACGAAAAUAACAUUCGCUAACGCUAUUCUAGCAUAAAACGCGAAAAAAAAACGAAUAACUGAAUACAUUAUCCCUCAACGUCAUUAAAUUUCCAUGAAAUGCACGGGAAUAACCGAAUUGUUUUUUCACGUUGACGUCAUUUCCAUUUGAACUAUCUGUUUUAGGGCCAUAAAACGUUUACGUUCUGCCACGGAACGCGCAUAUUUAAAAAGGUAUUAUAACAGCACGUGAGCGCGAGAAUCUCUCUGUUAACACACGUUUUAUCGCCUGUUAAAACACCCCCAAAAAGUGACAAGAACAGCAGUUUUAUGCUAGAAUAACCAUUAAAGGCGCAUCAUUGCCAUUUAAUAAGUUUAUACUAAAUGUCUGAACAUCUGUUAUUGGCAUUGUUGAUACAGAUACCAGUAAUUUACAGGGUUAUACUAAAACUUUUCUCGUUGGGUUAGAAAAGACCCAAGCAGAGAUUGAAAUUGAUAAUGGAAAUAAGCAGUAAGAAGGGAUGAUUCAGAAAGAGGAAAGAAUUGUAAUAUUAAAGAACUUACAGACUUCUAAAGACUUGAUUUUGAAACUGAAUUUCAUGUAAAAGAGUCCUAUCAAUUUACUUCAGUAGUGCUAUGGUAAAAUUUUGAUGCGGUCAUGUUGUGAUAUGAAUAAACUGUUAAUUGAUCUUGA